rnacentral:rRNA from 1 species
CCUACGGGAGGCAGCAGUGGGGAAUAUUGGGCAAUGGGCGAAAGCCUGACCCAGCAACGCCGCGUGAAGGAAGAAGGCUUUCGGUAUGUAAAGCUCUAUCAGCAGGGAAGAAAAUGACGGUACCUGACUAAGAAGCCCCGGCUAAAUACGUGCCAGCAGCCGCGGUAAUACGUAUGGGGCAAGCGUUAUCCGGAUUUACUGGGUGUAAAGGGAGCGCAGGCGGCCUGCCAAGUCUGGUGUGAAAACCCGGGGCCCAACCCCGGGCCUGCAUUGGAAACUGGCGGGCUGGAGUGUCGGAGGGGCAGGCGGAAUUCCUAGUGUAGCGGUGAAAUGCGUAGAUAUUAGGAGGAACACCGGUGGCGAAGGCGGCCUGCUGGACGAUGACUGACGCUGAGGCUCGAAAGCGUGGGGAGCAAACAGGAUUAGAUACCCCGGUAGUC